rnacentral:misc_RNA from 1 species
AAUUUCUCAGGCUUGGAUGCUUUUGCUUGUCAAAGGUCAUCUUUGCUUGGUGUUGGGCUCUGCCGUGACCUUCAUUGGAACGGCUGGCCUUAAAAACAUUAGCUGACUUGUAAUGUGGCAUUGGUUCCACUCAGCGUGAUAAUAAUUUUUUACCGCUGAGGACAUCUUUUCGGAUGGCCAAUCCUCGUUCGGGUUGCUUCUAAUCUGGACUACAGAUCCCUCGGAUCUGUUCCACUUUCAA